rnacentral:lncRNA from 1 species
UGAAGGUGGAAAUGGUUGUGAAGGGAGGACUCCAUCAAACAGAGAAGAGAGGUGAUGGAGACAGAUGGAAAAGAAAAAAAGAAUAAGAGGUUAAGGAAGUAAAUGAGAGAAAAGGAGGGCUUAGAUGAAGGGAAUGAGAAGGAAAGUGGUGGCGAGGAAAGGCAAGCUCCGGUUGUGAGGGGUGUUGGUUAGGUAGGAGAACUACUCACGUAAGGCAGGUAUGUUCUAAGCAUGCGAAUAAUAAUGAAUAUUUAAUUGGUAUAUGCAUCUUGAUCUAGGGAUAGGAUAAGAUGAUGAUGAUGAUAUAGAGGUUUAGGAUGUGGCUCCAUUUUUUUGGAUAGUUGAGAGCUUGGAAACUCAAUGAGUGUUGAAGAGGACAUUCAAGAGAGAAAGAAAUUGGUGAUUUUCGGAAGAGUAGAAGUGUUAGAGAGGAGGAUGAUCGACUCGGUUUAAAUAGGAAAGAGUAUUAGUCAUAAUCGAUGUUAAUUUGUCAUAUCUAUUUAAUGCACGUCGUACGACUUAGAUACGAGAAAAUAUUUUAUUUUUCAUGAUAACUCAUUAUGGGAAAGAAGCUCUGGUGUAACAGACAGGGUUUGAGAAGGUAGUGAGGUCAGAAGAUUUAUCUUCUUUAUAAGGAAAGGAAUUAAUAACUUGGUUGACAUGCAAGAUAUGAUAGGACAAGUUAUUGUAAAGACACAAAUUUGAAGAGAACUGCUCCGACCAUAGACACACUGAUAACUCCCAAUUUUUCCCCAUUUUUGUUUG